GCUCAGGAUGAACGCUAGCUACAGGCUUAACACAUGCAAGUCGAGGGGCAGCAUGGUCUUAGCUUGCUAAGGCCGAUGGCGACCGGCGCACGGGUGAGUAACACGUAUCCAACCUGCCGUCUACUCUUGGACAGCCUUCUGAAAGGAAGAUUAAUACAAGAUGGCAUCAUGAGUCCGCAUGUUCACAUGAUUAAAGGUAUUCCGGUAGACGAUGGGGAUGCGUUCCAUUAGAUAGUAGGCGGGGUAACGGCCCACCUAGUCUUCGAUGGAUAGGGGUUCUGAGAGGAAGGUCCCCCACAUUGGAACUGAGACACGGUCCAAACUCCUACGGGAGGCAGCAGUGAGGAAUAUUGGUCAAUGGGCGCAGGCCCGAACCAGCCAAGUAGCGUGAAGGAUGACUGCCCUAUGGGUUGUAAACUUCUUUUAUACGGGAAUAAAGUGAGGCACGUGUGCCUUUUUGUAUGUACCGUAUGAAUAAGGAUCGGCUAACUCCGUGCCAGCAGCCGCGGUAAUACGGAGGAUCCGAGCGUUAUCCGGAUUUAUUGGGUUUAAAGGGAGCGUAGGCGGACGCUUAAGUCAGUUGUGAAAGUUUGCGGCUCAACCGUAAAAUUGCAGUUGAUACUGGGUGUCUUGAGUACAGUAGAGGCAGGCGGAAUUCGUGGUGUAGCGGUGAAAUGCUUAGAUAUCACGAAGAACUCCGAUUGCGAAGGCAGCUUGCUGGACUGUAACUGACGCUGAUGCUCGAAAGUGUGGGUAUCAAACAGGAUUAGAUACCCUGGUAGUCCACACAGUAAACGAUGAAUACUCGCUGUUUGCGAUAUACAGUAAGCGGCCAAGCGAAAGCGUUAAGUAUUCCACCUGGGGAGUACGCCGGCAACGGUGAAACUCAAAGGAAUUGACGGGGGCCCGCACAAGCGGAGGAACAUGCGGUUUAAUUCGAUGAUACGCGAGGAACCUUACCCGGGCUUGAAUUGCAACUGAAUGAUGUGGAGACAUGUCAGCCGCAAGGCAGUUGUGAAGGUGCUGCAUGGUUGUCGUCAGCUCGUGCCGUGAGGUGUCGGCUUAAGUGCCAUAACGAGCGCAACCCUUAUCGAUAGUUACCAUCAGGUUAUGCUGGGGACUCUGUCGAGACUGCCGUCGUAAGAUGUGAGGAAGGUGGGGAUGACGUCAAAUCAGCACGGCCCUUACGUCCGGGGCUACACACGUGUUACAAUGGGGGGUACAGAAGGCGGCUACACGGUGACGUGAUGCUAAUCCCGAAAGCCUCUCUCAGUUCGGAUUGGAGUCUGCAACCCGACUCCAUGAAGCUGGAUUCGCUAGUAAUCGCGCAUCAGCCACGGCGCGGUGAAUACGUUCCCGGGCCUUGUACACACCGCCCGUCAAGCCAUGAAAGCCGGGGGUACCUGAAGUGCGUAACCGCAAGGAGCGCCCUAGGGUAAAACUGGUG
rnacentral:rRNA from 1 species